rnacentral:rRNA from 1 species
UGGGGAAUCUUCCGCAAUGGACGAAAGUCUGACGGAGCAACGCCGCGUGUAUGAUGAAGGUCUUCGGAUUGUAAAGUACUGUCAUUGGGGAAGAACGGUUUUCUUGAAAAGAUUGAGAAGACAUGACGGUACCCAAGGAGGAAGCCCCGGCUAACUACGUGCCAGCAGCCGCGGUAAUACGUAGGGGGCAAGCGUUGUCCGGAAUUAUUGGGCGUAAAGGGCGCGUAGGCGGGCCUUUAAGUCCGGUGUGAAAGAUCAGGGCUCAACCCUGAGAGUGCAUCGGAAACUGGAGGCCUUGAGGACAGGAGAGGAAAGUGGAAUUCCACGUGUAGCGGUGAAAUGCGUAGAUAUGUGGAGGAACACCAGUGGCGAAGGCGACUUUCUGGACUGUAACUGACGCUGAGGCGCGAAAGCGUGGGGAGCAAACAGGAUUAGAUACCCUGGUAGUCCACGCCGUAAACGAUGAGUGCUAGGUGUAGAGGGUAUCGACCCCUUCUGUGCCGCAGUUAACACAAUAAGCACUCCGCCUGGGGAGUACGGCCGCAAGGUUGAAACUCAAAUGAAUUGACGGGGUCAUAGCUGUUUCCU